rnacentral:rRNA from 1 species
UGCCAGCCGCCGCGGUAAUACGGAGGGUUCAAGCGUUGUUCGGAAUUACUGGGCGUAAAGAGCGCGUAGGCGGCGCAGAUAGUCAGAUGUGAAAGCCCUGGGCUUAACCCAGGAGGUGCAUUUGAUACUGCUGUGCUAGAGUACCGAAGAGGUAAGUGGAAUUCCUAGUGUAGAGGUGAAAUUCGUAGAUAUUAGGAGGAACACCAGUGGCGAAGGCGGCUUACUGGUCGGUAACUGACGCUGAGGCGCGAAAGCGUGGGGAGCAAACAGGAUUAGAUA